CUCACGUCCAUGACGAAUACUCGAGAACCC
rnacentral:piRNA from 1 species